rnacentral:rRNA from 1 species
GGAAUAUUGGACAAUGGGGGAAACCCUGAUCCAGCGACGCCGCGUGGGUGAAGAAGGCCUGCGGGUUGUAAAGCCCUUUCGGUGGGGAAGAAAAGCCUCGACCUAAUACGUCGGGCUCUUGACGUAACCCACAACAGAAGCCCCGGCUAACCCUGUGCCAUCAGCCGCGGUAAUACAGAGGGUGCGAGCGGUAAUCGGAAUUACUGGACGUAAAGCGCACGUAGGCGGCUUUGCAAGUCGGGUGUGAAAUCCCCGGGCUCAACCUGGGAACUGCAUUCGAUACUGCAUUGCUGGAGUAUGGGAGAGGGAAGUGGAAUUUCCGGUGUAGCGGUGAAAUGCGUAGAUAUCGGAAGGAACACCAGUGGCGAAAGCGACUUCCUGGACCAAUACUGACGCUCAGGUGCGAAAGCGUGGGGAGCAAA